rnacentral:rRNA from 1 species
GGACCCGCACAAGCGGUGGAGCGUGAUCUUUAAUUCGAUGUUAAACGAUAAACCUUACCAAGGCUUGACAUCUAGGAAAGGCUCUCGAAAGAGAACUGUGCCUUCGGGAAUCCUAAGACAGGUGAUGCAUGGCCGUCGUCAGCUCGUGUCGUGAGAUGUUUGGUUAAGUCCAUCAACGAGCGCAACCCUUGUAAGCAGUUGUAUUUUUCUGCUUAAACUGCCUCGGUAACGAGGAGGAAGGAGGGGAUGAUGUCAGGUCAGUAUUUCCCUUACGCCUUGGGCGAGAAUCGCGCUACAAUGGCUAGUACAAUGCGAAGCGAAGCAGUAAUGUGAAGCAAAUCGCAUCAAAGCUAGUCCCAGUUCGGAUAGGAGGCUGAAACUCGCCUUCUUGAAGUCGGAAUCGACUAGUAAUCGCAAAUCAAGCAUGUUG